rnacentral:rRNA from 1 species
GUACGGCGAGUGAGCGGUAACAGCUCAAAUUUGAAAUCUGGCCUCUUUUGGGGUCCGAGUUGUAAUUUGUAGAGGAUGUUUCGGGUACCGCCCCGGUCUAAAUUUCUUGGAACAGAAUGUCAGAGAGGGUGAGAAUCCCGUCUUGGACCGGCGGUAGGGCCCAUGUGAAACUCCUUCGACGAGUCGAGUUGUUUGGGAAUGCAGCUCAAAAUGGGUGGUAAAUUUCAUCUAAAGCUAAAUAUUGGCCAGAGACCGAUAGCGCACAAGUAGAGUGAUCGAAAGAUGAAAAGCACUUUGAAAAGAGAGUUAAACAGUAUGUGAAAUUGUUGAAAGGGAAGCGCUUGCAACCAGACUUGAGCGCGGCGGUUCCCCCUCCCUUUUGGGUGGGUUACUCCGUCGUGUCCAGGCCAACAUCGGUUCUGGGGGUCGGUCAAAGGCCCUGGGAAUGUACCUACACCUUCGGGUAUAGACUUAUAGCCCAGGGUGUCAUGCGGCCCCCCGGGACCGAGGAACGCGCUUCGGCUCGGAUGUUGGCGUAAUGGUUGUCAGCGACCCG